rnacentral:rRNA from 1 species
AUUGAACGCUGGCGGCAGGCUUAACACAUGCAAGUCGAGCGAGCGGCGGACGGGUGAGUAAUGUCUGGGAAACUGCCUGAUGGGGGGGGAUAACUACUGGAAACGGUAGCUAAUACCGCAUACCAUCAGAUGUGCCCAGAUGGGAGUAGCUAGUAGGUGGGGUAAUGGCUCACCUAGGCGACGAUCCCUAGCGGGUCUGAGAGGAGGACAAGCAACACUGGAAGUGAGACACGGUCCAGACUCCUACGGGAGGCAGCAGAGGGGAAUAUUGCACAAUGGGCGAAAGCCGAACGCACCAAGGCCGCGUGUGGGAAGAAGGCUUUCGAGUUGUAAAGCACUUUGAGCGAGGAGGCGUUAAUCGCAGAAGAAGCACCGGCUAACUCCGUGCCAGCAGCCGGGGUAAUUC